CUCUCCACUAUAUCAUCAUCAUUCAUCAUAUCCUAGAAGGUCAAAUUCUAUUCUGCGAGUGUUAGUUGUUCAAUUAGUGAUCAAAGAUAUGAGAAUUUGAUUCAGCUUAUAUAUUUAAGACUUUUCGAGAUUGGUAUGAUUAUAUAUAUAAUGGAGGAAAAACCCCGAUAUUCCUGGAAAAAAAUUGGUUGAAAGUUUAAGAGAUGAGUAUGGAAUAGAAAUCCAUUCACACGCGAUGAAUUUAUCGGAAGUGGCAAGUUCCAGUUAGGUAAUUAGAGGUUGUUUCUCAAGGAUUAGAUGACAGCUCUUGGACAUUGCAGAUUGAAAUAUAUAUAUAAAUAUAUUUUUUUUUGAAGCGCAAAAUGCAGAUUAAAAAUAUAAUGGCAAGUUUGCGUAUUUUUAUUCCAGAUGGUAACAUUUGACUCUCUUAAACCUUCAACCAAGCUAUAUAUAUAUAUAUAUACACAAACUUCUCCUAGAAUAUCGGGUUUUUUCCUCCGUCUGUUAUAUAUAAUAGGAUGACAGAUCGGUAUUAUAUAUAACAGAUUGAGGAAAACAACCCGAUAUUUCAUAAGAAGUUUGUGUAUAUAUAGCUUGGUCGAAGUUUUAACUGUUACCCGUCAAGAGUAGAACGUAAACACACUCUCAACGAAUAUUGAAUGUGGUAGAAAAUCACUUUGUCAAAGUGCUCAGCAGGAAUGCCACAUAGCCCAGUUAUGGAUCAUUUUGGCCCAAUUGAAAUCUCCAAGUAUUUGAUGAAAGCCCAAUAGCCCAUCUUUAGUUUCAUGUUACAUUAUUUCAACGGAAGUGUUAAUCCUACCACAAGUUUGAUAUAUAUACCACAUGCAUGCAUUACUGGCUUGUACAAUAUAUUUUAAAACUUGUACUGUAUGGUAAAAUUAUUAAAAACUGUGAUAUGAAUAUCAUUUCCCUUAUUUUAAAUGGCUAGUCAUGUUAGGUUAACUUGAAGGAAUCCCUUCCUUUUCUUUAUAGCAUUUUAUGUUUCUAUGUUUCAUUUUAUUUUAUUCUCUUUAAUUUGAGAGUGAGUACUAUAAUUCCAUUGCUAUUUUAGGUUUUGGCAUUAAUCAAGAGGAGAUCAUAGAAGCUAAUAUCGUCAGUUCUUGUAGUGAGACUGUAUCGAGAACACAUAUAAGAAUAAUGCCCUUCAAGGCUCUCGAGUGACGAGUUUGUAACUUGUAGUGAUUCGUUGUUUUUCUAACUAUUGGUGGGUAUUUCAAUAUGUACCUAAGCUUAUAUCUAUCAUAUAUAGUGAACCUUCAUAAAUUUGUACAAAAACACCAUGCAUAUAAAGCAGUUUCGAAUGUCGUCAAUA